GCCUUUACCCUCUGUGACUGUGUCACAGUCAAAGCACUCUAAUGUCACUUGUUUCCCAAGAUUGUAAGUGAUUAAGUCAAUUUAUAUUUCAGAAGGACCCAUCAAAGGAACUGUCUUGGUCAUGAUGUGAUUAUCAGGAAGGCCAAAGUCUUUACUCUCUGCCCUGUGACUCCUUGAGGAUGUCACGCUGCUUCUCUGCUGAGAACUAGCUCAUUCCUUUUGUCUCGAGUUUUUUUAUUUUAUAUCCCUGCUCUGAGCCAGGAUGUGCUAAUUUGUCGCUAAUGGCCAAGGAUUAAUGUGGGGGAAAUAUAAAGCCGUGAGGUUACAUGACAGUCCUGGGGUUGGUUGUCAGAAGCCACUGUAACCUAAGUGAACAUUGCCACAGCUGUGAUCUCCAGGAGAUCUGAAGGCUCAGUAGUAAUCAUAAAGAUCUUCAGUUCGCAACUCGGGGAUGGAUUCCAGGCAGCAGGGCCAAUGUCUCACUGGUGCUGCCCUGGCCUCCUCUACUGGCAUGUUGCUGUUGGGAACCCUGCUGAAGUCACCCAAGGAUGCCUGCACUGUGGAGUCUUUGAUGUCUAAUGGUCUGGCACCAUAACUUGUGUAGGUAUAGCCUAUAAACAGAAAUUUG